GACGAACGCUGGCGGCGUGCCUAAUACAUGCAAGUAGAACGCUGAAGGAGGAGCUUGCUUCUCUGGAUGAGUUGCGAACGGGUGAGUAACGCGUAGGUAACCUGCCUGGUAGCGGGGGAUAACUAUUGGAAACGAUAGCUAAUACCGCAUAACAGUAGAUGUUGCAUGACAUUUGCUUAAAAGGUGCAAUUGCAUCACUACCAGAUGGACCUGCGUUGUAUUAGCUAGUUGGUGGGGUAACGGCUCACCAAGGCGACGAUACAUAGCCGACCUGAGAGGGUGAUCGGCCACACUGGGACUGAGACACGGCCCAGACUCCUACGGGAGGCAGCAGUAGGGAAUCUUCGGCAAUGGACGGAAGUCUGACCGAGCAACGCCGCGUGAGUGAAGAAGGUUUUCGGAUCGUAAAGCUCUGUUGUAAGAGAAGAACGAGUGUGAGAGUGGAAAGUUCACACUGUGACGGUAUCUACCAGAA
rnacentral:rRNA from 1 species